rnacentral:rRNA from 1 species
GAUCCUGGCUCAGGAUGAACGCUAGCGACAGGCUUAACACAUGCAAGUCGAGGGGCAGCACGGGUAGCAAUACCGGGUGGCGACCGGCGCACGGGUGAGUAACGCGUAUGCAACUUACCUAUCAGAGGGGGAUAACCCGGCGAAAGUCGGACUAAUACCGCAUGAAGCAGGGGCCCCGCAUGGGGAUAUUUGCUAAAGAUUCAUCGCUGAUAGAUAGGCAUGCGUUCCAUUAGGCAG